rnacentral:tRNA from 1 species
UGCUUGGAGCUCAGUUGGCAGAGCAGGACACUCUUAAUCUCAGAGUUGUGGGUUUGAGCCCCACAUUGGGCAA